rnacentral:lncRNA from 1 species
CAAAGGUGGCCUCAGGGUGGCCCCAUAGUCCCCAAGGUGGCCCCAGGGACCCCAAGGUGGCCUCAGGGUGGCCAGCGUGGCCCCAAGGUGGCCCCAAGGACUCCAAGGUAGCCUCAGGCUGUCCCCAUAGUCCUCAAAGUGGCCCCAGGGUCCCCAAAUGUCACCUCAGGGCGGCCCCAGGGAUCCCAAAAUUGGCUUCAGAGCGGCCCCAUAGUCCCCAAGGUAGCCCGAGGCUCCCUAACGUAGCCCCAGGGACCCCAAAGUGGCCUCAGAUUGUCCCCACAGCUCCCAAAGUGGCCCCAGGGUCCACAAAGGUGACCUCAGGGUGUCCACAGGGAUCCCAAAGUUGGCCUCAGAGUGGCCCCAUAGUCCCCAAGGUGGCCCAAGGGUCCCCAAAGGUGGCCUUAGGGUGGCCCCAUAGUCCCCAAGGUAGCCCAAGGGUCCCCAAGGUGGCCCCAGGGACUCCAAGGUAGCCUCAGGUUGUCCCCAUAGUCCUCAAAGUGGCCCCAGGGUCCCCAAAUGUGACCUUAGGGCGGCCCCAGGGAUCCCAAAAUUGGCUUCAGAGUGGCCCCACAGUCCCCAAGGUAGCCCAAGGGUCCCCAAGGUAGCCCAAGGGUCCCCAAGGUGGCCCCAGGGUCCCCAAAGGCGGCCCCAGAUCGUCCCCAGGGUCCCCGAAGCGUCCCCGGCCCCGCGCCCCAAGUGAAGCCCCCGCAGACGGCCCAGACAACGCCAGCGACUCGUGUUUAUUACAAAAGAAGUCGGUCACCCCGGAUUUUUACAAAGGAGCCAAAAAACUACAAUUUUCAUCUAGUCUCUUUGUACAAAAAAAUAGCACUUUGAAAACGGGGGCUCGGGACGGCGGCCACCGGAGUAGAAAAAAGCUCGGCCACGGCCAGAGGGAACAGUCCGGGCACUGGGGGGGUGGGGGGGUUAUUGCCAGCUGCGGGGGGGGCACGGGGCCCGAUCCUGCGCCCACCCCCCCCGUGCCGCCCCCCCCGGCGCGGGUGGUUAAAGCCGGCAGGGCGGCCCCAAACCCCCCGUUUUUUCCCCCAAAA